rnacentral:rRNA from 1 species
UACGUAGGGUGCGAGCGUUAAUCGGAAUUACUGGGCGUAAAGUGUGCGCAGGCGGCGCUGCAAGUCGAGUGUGAAAUCCCCGAGCUUAACUUGGGAAUUGCGCUCGAAACUACGGCGCUGGAGUAUGGCAGAGGAAGGUGGAAUUCCACGUGUAGCGGUGAAAUGCGUAGAGAUGUGGAGGAACACCGAUGGCGAAGGCAGCCUUCUGGGCCAAUACUGACGCUCAUGCACGAAAGCGUGGGGAGCAAACAGGAUUAGAUACCCUGGUAGUCCACGCCCUAAACGAUGAUGACUAGUUGUUGGAGGAGUUAAAUCCUUUAGUAACGCAGCUAACGCGUGAAGUCAUCCGCCUGGGGAGUACGGUCGCAAGAUUAAA